CUGCAAAGUCUUUCAGCUGCUCCAGACGGAUUUCUUUCUUUUUCCAGAUUUAGACUCAGCAGCACAUUUUCCAAACCUUUUCCCAGUGAGCGAUCCAAGUGCCUCAGGGAGGAUUUACUGCUUUCACAAGUACGUCCCCCUCUUUAAAUUCAGCUAAAGGAAAUCACCUAACAGAGACCAGAACAAUGGUUUCGAUACAGAAUCCUGGUUGAUUUCUCACCUGAUUCCUUCCACAGAAAUCAGCUGUUUGAACGUCAGUGACUGAAUCGCAUUACCUUGAUGUCCGUUUGUACUCUUUUCCAGAAGACUCGGACUCAGGCCGCCGUGCGUCUCCCGCCGCCUCAGCCGUCGCUGCGCGCCGGUCAGACGCGCUGGACAUCCCGGCUGUUUGACCCACAGCGGCUCCCUGCCUCCGCCGCUGACUGACUGACUGACUGACUGAUGGACUGGCUGCACUGUGCCCGGGUUCAUUUAGGGGGCGCCAGUGUAUAAUGCGCGCAGACCGAGCGGCUCAGAUGUGGAUGGAGAGGCGAGUUGCUGGAACAGCUUGGCUGCAUCAAAUACAGAACAGAAUGACCUUUGAUUUGUGAAUCAGCAGGGAAAACUGAGAUGUUGCAGCAGCAAAGUGGGAAAUCAGUAAACCCAAUUCUGAACAAAAACGGCCAUAAAGAUGCAAAAAAAUAAUUGGAACUGCAAAGUAGAGCAACAAUGGGAGAGCCUGCAGCUGAAGGAGCUGUCCUGUGCAGGCAGGGGGUCAUGCAUGGAGAGCGCAUCAUUGCUGAGGAGGGAUGCUGGUCAGGCUAAUGCCUCCUCCUGCCUCUGGCCAUCGGCACUGGGUGGAGCGGACAUCAGAUAGAGACGGCCUUCCUUCCUGCUGAGCUUCGCCACACUCUGUGUAGGACUGCAGUCCUCUUGACGACGUAUGCGUUGGUUUCACUGGCUGCACUUUCUCUAUGGCCUGAGAUGGCAGCGCACUAAAGGCAAAUUUGAGCUCAGAUCAUCCGGAGCAUCCUGCCACGGACCGAGCGAUCAGGAGUGCACUCCAAAAUUUUGGGCGAGGGGAAUAAAAUGUGCACACAAUACAAACCCACGGCGGAUCAAACACAGUUGUCACAGUUUGCUGAGAGCUCCGGGUUUCUGGCCUCACACUCUGUGUUUGGGAAGAAAUUUGGACGUCUUUCUCUAAUAUUCUUGGUGUUUAUAUCGUGUUUCUGAAAAAAAAAUAAAGAUCUGAAAACUG